UCUGCUGUUCGCGCCGUAGCUCCUCCUCCACAGAGAUUAACCUAAAAAUGAUGAAACAUACGUCGUUUUAGCUGGUUCUGUACACGAUAAUUGGAUAUUCCAACCUCGCGAUCCACGUCGCGAUCUUCGCCAUGAAACCGCCUCUGUUUAUUCAGAUCUUUCUUGGAGGAACAGAGACAGUUUCGAUGGUACUGAGCACACAUGGAACUGAGCCUCGACUGUGAAUUCUCUCUGGUUUUAUAGAGAUUUCUCAGGGAGGUUUGUGAGGAUCCAAGCGCACCAAGAUGCAUAUAUCGAAGAAAAGAACACCAAUGUACUUCGGAAAUGAAAGUCAAAGGAAGCAGCAGUGUCUGGUGCAAAAUAUCAUACGCUGAGAUAACCAAAAAGAACGAUCAAUAAUGCAGCAGGGUAACGGGAUUUUCUUUCGAUCAAAGAAGCAAGGCGUCUGCUUCUGCA